AAUCAACGCUGGCGGCGUGCCUCAGACAUGCAAGUCGAACGAUUAAAGCUCUCUUCGGAGAGUGUAUAGAGUGGCGCACGGGUGAGUAACACGUAAGUAAUCUACCCUCGAGUGGGGAAUAACAACCGGAAACGGUUGCUAAUACCGCAUAAUGCAGCGGCACCGCAAGGUGACAGUUGUUAAAGAUUUAUCGCUUGAGGAGGAGCUUGCGGCAGAUUAGCUAGUUGGUAGGGUAACGGCUUACCAAGGCUACGAUCUGUAACCGGUCUAAGAGGACGGUCGGUCACACUGACACUGAAUAACGGGUCAGACUCCUACGGGAGGCAGCAGUCGGGAAUUUUGGGCAAUGGGCGAAAGCCUGACCCAGCAACGCCGCGUGAAGGAUGAAGUAUUUCGGUAUGUAAACUUCGAAAGAAUAGGAAGAAUUAAUGACGGUACUAUUUAUAAGGUCCGGCUAACUACGUGCCAGCAGCCGCGGUAAAGUAG
rnacentral:rRNA from 1 species